rnacentral:siRNA from 1 species
UAGACUUGCAGCAACUGUC